GACGAACGCUGGCGGCGUGCUUAACACAUGCAAGUCGAGCGGUAAGGCCCUUUCGGGGGUACACGAGCGGCGAACGGGUGAGUAACACGUGGGUGACCUGCCCUCAGCUCUGGGAUAAGCCUGGGAAACCGGGUCUAAUACUGGAUAUGACUCCAUGACGCAUGUUGUGGGGUGGAAAGCCUUGUGCGGCUGAGGAUGGGCCCGCGGCCUAUCAGCUUGUUGGUGGGGUGANGGCCUACCAAGGCGACGACGGGUAGCCGGCCUGAGAGGGCGACCGGCCACACUGGGACUGAGACACGGCCCAGACUCCUACGGGAGGCAGCAGUGGGGAAUCUUGCGCAAUGGGCGAAAGCUUGACGCAGCGACGCCGCGUGAGGGAUGACGG
rnacentral:rRNA from 1 species